CAAAAUAUAGCUAUAAGGAAGCAUCUCAGUUACGUUGAGGGGAUUAAUCGUGCAAAUCGGUUUAUUUUGA
rnacentral:tRNA from 1 species